GUGCUCACUUUGGCAGCACAUACACUAAAACUGGAAUGAUACAGAGAUCAGAAUGGCCCCUGCGCAAAGAGGACAUGCAAAUUCCUGAAGCAAUGCAUUUUUUA
ensembl:snRNA U6 U6 spliceosomal RNA